ACGGACCGUACCCUUCACGGUAAAGAUCGCGAGUUCAAUUCUCACUCCCGACAUUCUUCCAAAAAUGGAAGUGACAAGCGGGCCAAAAAGGUGUUGAAAGUCAUUAUAAUACAGUAUAAAAAAGAAACGGAAACGGAAAGGGAACGCUUGUCACCGGACCCCUCGGUGUCGAACGCUCCCACAACAGCAGCGUCUCUAUGAACGGGCGAAAUUGGUCUGUGUUGGGUUGGGGUGUGUCGAUGCAAAUAGAGAGAUAGGGAUAGAGAAAGAGAGAAAAAAACAAAAGCAACUGUCAAAAGUUCCAGAGAAUAAACAGAAGAAAUCUAUAGAAAUAAAGAUUGUUUUAUCAAAGUUAGAAGGUGAAUAGAAGAGAUUAUAUCGCUGUAUUUAUAAAAGUGUACUAACAUUAAUCUUUAUCGAAGAUACUUAUUCUAAAUCUUAUCUAACUUAAUCUAAAAGUACGGAUUGGUUAGUAUAAAUUUGAGUACGUGGCAAACAAUCAAUCGGAAGUCGGAACAGACAGUUAGCGGAAGUAUAAAUGAAGGAUAAAAGAUAGGGAAGAAGCACUAAAACGAAUUGAAAGUGAUCCGAACAUUGAACAAUAAAGGACACUACGAAUUUGGAAAAGCUACUCCCAUCUGCUUUGUUACCGCGAUCCGUGAAGUAACAAAUCUUUAAAUUGGUUUUACACGAAGAAGGAUGUCUGAUCCGGUUAGCCAUUCAGCGGCUGUUGCCGAUCAAGGUAAUAGCUCAGCUACGAUUUCUAUAAGCGCGAACGACAGAAACCCCCCAAUCGAUGUAAAUGAGAAAAAGAUAA